CGUAGGGUGCGAGCGUUGUCCGGAUUUAUUGGGCGUAAAAGGGCUCGUAGGUGGUUGGAUCGCGUCGGAAGUGUAAUCUUGGGGCCUUAACCCCUGAGCGUGCUUUCGAUACGGGUUGACUUGAGGAAGGUAGGGGAGAAUGGAAUUCCUGGUGGAGCGGUGGAAUGCGCAGAUAUCAGGAGGAACACCAGUGGCGGAAGGCGGUUCUCUGGGCCUUUCCUGACGCUGAGGAGCGAAAGCGUGGGGAGCGAACAGGCUU
rnacentral:rRNA from 1 species